AACGAACGCUGGCGGCAGGCUUAACACAUGCAAGUCGAACGCCCCGCACGGGGAGUGGCAGACGGGUGAGUAACGCGUGGGAACGUACCUUUCGCUUCGGAAUAUUCCCGGGAAACUGGGAGCAAUGCCGAAUACGCCGUAUUGGGAAAGAUUUAUCGGCGAAAGAUCGGCCCGCGUUGGAUUAGCUAGUUGGCGGUGUAAGGGACCACCAAGGCUACGAUCUAUAGCUGGUCUGAGAGGAUGAUCAGCCACACUGGGACUGAGACACGGCCCAGACUCCUACGGGAGGCAGCAGUGGGGAAUCUUGGACAAUGGGCGCAAGCCUGAUCCAGCCAUGCCGCGUGAGUGAAGAAGGCCUUAGGGUUGUAAAACUCUUUCGCCGGUGGAGAUAAUGACGGUAACCGGAGAAGAAGCCCCGGCUAACUUCGUGCCAGCCGCCGCCGUAACAC
rnacentral:rRNA from 1 species